AGAACGAACGCUGGCGGCAGGCUUAACACAUGCAAGUCGAACGCUCGUAGCAAUACGGGAGUGGCAGACGGGUGAGUAACGCGUGGGAACCUUCCCUGUGGUACGGAAUAACUUCGGGAAACCGAAGCUAAUACCGUAUAUCUCCUCCGGGAGAAAGAUUUAUCGCCAUAGGAUGGGCCCGCGUUGGAUUAGCUAGUUGGUGAGGUAACGGCUCACCAAGGCAACGAUCCAUAGCUGGUCUGAGAGGAUGAUCAGCCACACUGGGACUGAGACACGGCCCAGACUCCUACGGGAGGCAGCAGUGGGGAUAUUGGACAAUGGGCGCAAGCCUGAUCCAGCAAUGCCGCGUGAGUGAAGAAGGCCUUAGGGUUGUAAAGCUCUUUUGGCGGGGACGAUAAUGACGGUACCCGCAGAAUAAGCCCCGGCUAACUUCGUGCCAGCAGCCGC
rnacentral:rRNA from 1 species